UACGGGGGGGGGCAAGCGUUGUUCGGAAUUACUGGGCGUAAAGCGCACGCAGGUGGCUGAGUCAGUCGAUUGUGAAAGCCCUGGGCUUAACCUGGGAAUUGCAGUCGAUACUACUCAGCUAGAGUAUGGGAGAGGGUAGUGGAAUUCCCGGUGUAGCGGUGAAAUGCGUAGAUAUCGGGAGGAACAUCAGUGGCGAAGGCGGCUACCUGGCCCAAUACUGACACUCAGGUGCGACAGCGUGGGGAGCAAACAGG
rnacentral:rRNA from 1 species